UCUUCGUCGAUAUACAUUUGUACGCGUCUCAGCACUUUCUUUGUCUCACCAUCUUCCAUAUAUCACACUGACAACGGAACAGUUGCGUACAUCUGUUUUUCGAAAAAUUGUGCGCACACAUACUUUCGUACACUCAUAUUCACUACUACGCGGCUAAUCUAGUCUAGCACACAAAAUUAUACAUAUCUCAAUAUAAAAAAUAGUUGCACGAAUAGAUAGUAAACCCAUGCUACGUUGCAAAACUGCACGUCCGUGUUUCACAUCACUAUUGUAAGAUAUUUUCCCACGUUGAAAAAUCGAUUAUAUGCUUAUGAUCUGCAGGUACAUGCUGAUUCAAAUUCUAGCCAAACGCAGAGAACCUAUUAAUUCGUCUCUACCGUCUAACGAGCUAAUAAACAAAAUCGAACGACGAAGUUGAAACAACGUGUACGAAAUAUACGAAAGAUAUCCGCUGUUCUGGCAUUUUUCUCCGCGUAAGGUCGGCCAGACAGAGGGUAACGAAGUCCGCGAGUUAAACGUUUGUCUGAAAGCGGCGUCGUUGAAAGGAGGGGCCGAGUGAAAUAUCGCCCUCGCCCGGUAUCUUGACCAGAAGGACAGGAUGGAAACCGUAAGGACACGCCCGUGAUGUUUCGAAAGUUAAUAACAACGAAGAAAAGACGAAAGACCGAGACAACUAUCGCACGGAACUCGCUGGAUCCUUGAGCCGAAUCCUCCAGUCCCGUGUACGCCAUGAUAAAGGUCGACCUUCGUCUUCCAUCAUUCGUCUUCGUCGCUUCGUGACUCUCGAAAUCCGUUGUAAAAAUAUAAAGACAUGUUUGUUCGGACAACAGAGUAUGCAAGUUGCCGAAAACAAGCGGUGAAACGCGUGGUGGCGUCCCGGUCCUGGAGAAAUGCCAGUCGUUAAUCCGUUUCUUCGUCGUGUAAGGUCCAUUUGUGAUUCAAGGGCGAUGUGUAUCUUUGUGCACGCGUUUAACUUUUGAGUCUAACGUUCGCGUUAACUUGUAGGUUCAAGGACUGGACGGAAACCUUCGUCAGAGACACUCGAGGUACUGUUAGUUUUAUUUGUUUAUUUUCCAUUGUUAUUUUUCUCCUGCGAGUUAGCACAGUAGCUGGAAAGCUAUUUUUCUCUUUGGUUUUAAUUUCUCACUCGUUUUUCCAAACGUUAGACGCAGACCUCGCUAAAAGGAAACGUAAGACUAGAUACGUAUCGUUGUAAAAAUGCGUGCAACAAUUUGCAACGACGACAACUAAGCUAACCGCGUCUCUCGUACUUCACAUUUCCGCUUGAAACCAACGCUUAAAACUUGACCUUAAAUUGUACAUCUUACGUUUCUUAUUUUUCUACGCCUUUGCCACUCGUAUUGUCGCACCGCCUGAACCGAUAUAAAAUACGGCGCAACAAACGGAACAAAUAAAUGUAACAUGAAGUGCGGUAAAAUAUAUAAAAGUCUAACAAUAUAAAAUCUCUAAGAGAUAUAAAAGCACGAAAGUAUGAUAUAAUAUGAGACCACACAGCUUAUGAAACUGUUCCCUAUUCCUCUUUGACCUUUCCCCUCUCUUCUCUCCUCGUUUCUCUUUUCUCUUUCUCUCUCAUUUCUUCUCGCAAUAUAGAAUACUCAAGGUACUACGAUUAUCUGAAUUAAUCAUGAGAAACUAAACUGGUAAAGAUAUUUGGCAGGCAAAGGAGAAAGGAUUAUGGGCCUUCAAAAAAUGAUUAAAAAAUAUUAAAGUUCCAAUGAAUUCUUGAAAUUUGAAUGCCAAAGCAUUUGAUUAACGACAAGGGAAACUUCUAAAAGGAAACAAUUAAAUGAAAGAAUUUGAAAAGUUGAGGAAGUAGGAAGUUUCCAGAAUUCGCACGUACGUGACUCGUGUGCUUUCUUCGUCGCCUGAUUCAUGUCAGAAGAUCGUAAAAUCCGGAUCGUAAAAACGUAGCCGGAUACAACGACCCCGUUUCCUCGGUUCUUUUUCAUUUUUCUUCGUCUUCAACUUCAGAUAACGCGAAGCAUAAAGUACAGCGAUAAGAAAGUACGUGUUACAUGCGUAGAGGCUAAACAGGUUAACGAACGCAUCAUCGCUUUUACGAACAUCGUUGCAUUCAUUAACAGCCAUAGUCCUUUCAGUUUAUCAACCGCAUUUAUCGUGACUACGAGUCGUUACAUUUAUGGUACAAGAUGUGUAUUUGAUAAGCGGAGAACCGUCAUAAACGUUGUCUCGAGUUAACUUAAUCGUAUUUAUGGCAAACAUGAGGGAAACUAAGUAUUUGCGUAUUUGUUGUGCGAUUUUUGACAGAAUUAUAAGUUUCGUCUCUCGUUCGAAUACCCAAAAGGUUUUCCAUUCGAAUUAAACCAACUAAAUCUAAUUAACUAAUAGUCUUUAAAUUACUCCAUGAUAGUUUAAUAUAUACGAAAACCGUGUCUAUUACUGUGCGUAUUUUAUUAAUAUCAAAUAAUAACGUUGUGCAUCGUUGAAUAAAUUUUUAUUGAAAUAGUUAUUUAAAUAGAGGCUCGCUCGUUAUUUGAGAGCUGAAAUGAAAAAUAGAAAUAAAUUACUCGUUAUCUCGACAAGUAUAAGUACGUAACUUGAGAUAAUGAAACCAAUUGUUAUUCAGAAAUUCAAUUUUAUUUCUUAUUUAUUGUUCUAAUUUACAUUUACGUAAUAGUUAUCGAUCGUCCAACAAACUUAUUUUUGCAUAAAUAUAUUUUUAACAAUGUUCGUUAGCUACGGCGAACGCUCUCCAAAUCAAAUAUAACUUUCUGACAACGAAAAGCGAGUAGUUUUAAUAGCAAGUACGAAUUGCCAACUAUCUAUUGAAAAAUAACCGUAUUACCUUCUCGACUUUUUCAUUGCAUAACACGAAACGUUUAAGACAAAACCAAAAAUCAAUUUACUCGUAUACUAUCAUUUUCUCUCCAAUUAAGUCCAAAUGGAAGAUGAAAUUUCACUUGCACAUAAGAAAUAAAUACAAAUAAAUAAAUUAUUUCUGGUGCCGUUUAAGCUACCCUCAUUUAAAUAAGAAAUUUAAUUGUUACUCACAACUAGGAUAUUAUUUCGAUUUGUUAUUUAUUAUUCAAUAAGUAAAUCAAGUGUUGUCUAAUGAAACAUUGUCUACAGACAACACGUCGAAAUCCAAAAAUUUCGAGCAUCGAAAAGACGGAAGGGAAUUUACAUAUCCGUAACACGUACAAAGGCCACAUAUCUCACCGCGUUGCAUAACUCAGCUCAUUGCUUAAUCGCCCAAUAAAUCGACCGAACCAUCUUCCUCCAAUCUCCGCCACCCACAACACCAAACUCAAACAACAUUCUUCAAAUUCAAGUCUUCCAAUUCCGCUCUACCCCUUUCUCUCUCUCUCUCUCUCUCUCUCUCUCUCGCUUUCUUUCUCUCUAAAUGCUCUUUCUCGCGUGUGAACACACACAGAGAAACCGCACGUAUGUACGUUAUAUCCAGCAGGAAAUUUCAACUCUCUCGUGCACGAGGCAGCAACGAAUUGGAAAUAUCAUUGACCGUUUCGCGUGGAAUUCCACGCGUGCCAUUCCUGGCCCGUGGACGUACGGCUUUUACGCAACUGAUCGCCAGUUAAAGAGACGGCUGCAAUAAAGAGCACUUGCCAGUAAUUCGAGUGAAACGAACAAAAAGGAACGUACGCUAAAAAUCGACAUAAAUUCUAUCUAAAUAAGUAAAAUUGGCUCGAAGUCGAUCGAUGUUAAAUUACUUUUUCAAAUAUGAUAAUGUACCAUACCAUCAUACCAAAGUUAUUUCAGUCACCUGGGCUUCGAUGUCUAAGUAUCAAUCUGGAACAUUGCACAGGACAGUGAAACUACGUUUUGCAUGAAUAAUUAAUCGAGUCGUUGGAUAAUCAAAACAUAUUGAGCCGUUGAAUAACUUUUAAUUUCUAAUUUCUUAAUGGAGCGUAUCUUCCACACUAAUCAAUUACACGUCCAAGAACUGGAACGUCUCUGUACCAUCAAGUAAAGUCACUCUAAACAUCGUGAGAAAGCUGUGUAUUCUUUCAUAAUAAAAGUCUCAAAAAUACAAAAUAAAACUAAAUAAAAAAAAAGAAAGACAAUAAUAAAAAUCGUUUAUAUUAUGAAAUCUGCUGUUGGAUGUUGCUGUGAUUAUUAAAGUGUACGUUCGUGCAAUGUAAACCGAAAGGUAAACGGGAAUAAAGAAAUACGUAUAUAAAUCUUUAAUUGCAUUUAUCAUCGUCCGACUCCACGCACUCUAUAAACUAUUUCACGAAUCAGACUCAAAUUUUUGCACAUUUUACUGAAUUCCCUCGUCCAUUAUAAAAAUGUUCUCGACGAGCUUCGUUUAGAAUUUCUUCAGCAAACAACGUACAUGUACGAACUUGUGCUGUUCGCGUGAAUGUAAAAUUCCGAUCGAUCGAUCCUCCGUUUCCCUGAUACUUCGAAUUAAUUGUCACGUUCCGUACGAAGCCAACAAGUAUCCUGUACAGAAAGCAGCUGGAUAUUCGAUUAAUUUUCAUAAUAAUUCUCCUUAGCUUUUGAAUACGAAAUUUAUAUCCUCCUUUCUCCUCCAAUAAAUACAGUUCAAACGUACAGAGUUUCCUUAUUGCCGCACAGCCCUCAAUUACUUCAGAAAUCCAUAAGCGUACUCGCAUGCACGCGUACAGCAGUUUACGAUCAGCAUUACACUUCCCGCGUGCCGAGAAAUAUACAGUUUAAACUAGUCUAAUGCGUCCAAUUAAUCUAAUCGUGGCCGAUCGUUGUUCCCUGGCGCACGAAACGCGUUACGUAACGUACUGCCAGCAGUCGAUCGAAGUUGCCAAUGGAACUGUUAAUUCCCCUAUGAACACACGACAGCUAGCGCAGAUCACGGGAAUACACGGGGUUUAUCAAUUUGCUCGGCGAUAUUGCAUUCCGCGUGAAUUAGACGUUGUAGAAGUGGUUUGUGGAUUGAGAAACCUUGGUUUCAAUUAGGUUUGGGUUCGGCUGGGUUUGCAGUUGAUUUGCAGAUGCAUUCUGCUUCUAUAGAUGGAAACAUCGGCGUUUUCGUAGAACGGUAUAUUCAUAAUCGGACACGGAGCCAACUUCGCUCUGCACUCGCAGAAAACCCUGAAGCGACAAAGAAACGCUUUCACGUUCGUCACGUUCUAUAAUUAAACGUAGCAGCGUGCUGGAGUAUAACGAUUCGAAACAUUAACGCCAUAGUGAAGUCGUCAAGCAAGAGCACUUUCGCAAACAGGAAGGGAACGCAAUAGCGCCCGAUCAAAGGGACGGGAAGCGAUUACUCCGGUGGUGUGUUCGUCAUUGACCCAAAUCACCAGUCCAGAAAGACGUGGCCGGCCUCUGAAUCUUGACAUUGAAUCGUUGUAAUAUAGUUCCGCCCCGUCAAGAUUUAUCCGAGCGAACGAUAGCGUUGAAAGUGAACGUUGCCGAGGAAACGGUCUAUCUUCGUUCUUCGCUCGAACCUCCGUUCCAAAAACAUCCAUCAAAGUUUCAUCACAGUCGUUUCGACGAAAUCGUUCCUCGAUCGUUAGCAGCUGACAUCAAAGGAAAGUAACUACGAAGAUUCGACGUGAAAUGGCGGGAAACGUGGAAGAUGGAGAAAGACAAUAAUUACGAAGGUUUGAUGUAAAAAAAAAAAAACAGUGCAAAGAUUCGAUGCAAAAACACAGCGUAGGAGAUUGUAUACAGAAAGAUACUGACGCGAUA